rnacentral:rRNA from 1 species
CCUACGGGUGGCUGCAGUGAGGAAUAUUGGUCAAUGGGCGCGAGCCUGAACCAGCCAAGUAGCGUGAAGGAUGACUGCCCUACGGGUUGUAAACUUCUUUUAUAAAGGAAUAAAGUGAGGCAAGUGUGCCGCUUUGCAUGUACCUUAUGAAUAAGGAUCGGCUAACUCCGUGCCAGCAGCCGCGGUAAUACGGAGGAUCCGAGCGUUAUCCGGAUUUAGUGGGGUUAAAGGGAGCGUAGAUGGGUUGUUAAGUCAGUUGUGACAGUUUUCGGCUCAACCGUAAAAUUGCAUUUGAUACUGGCAGCCUUGAGUACAGUUGAGGUAGGCGGCCUUCGUUGUGUAGCGGU